rnacentral:lncRNA from 1 species
GUUAAAGAGAGCAUGAAGAACAUAUGGGAGUCCCUUUGGGUGGGGGAGGCUUUCCAAUGGCAGACCACACCUCAUUAGAUACACCGCUGCAUCCAGGAGCAGGGGGACUGAGAAAUGGAGCCUAGUAGCCAGGACUGCUUCCUUUCCGUGUCUGCUCUGGGGUCCAAAUGGCUUGUAGGUAGCUAAUUGUCUCUGCUACCAACAUCUGCAUCCACGGGAGUGACACUCGAGACAGUUAAGAGGCAGAGAUGAGGAUUCAGAAUAAAAAAAUUAGUUCCACAUGGAAAAAUACUAUUUCCCAAAGACUAAUACUGUAACCUAACUCCUGGAAUCUACGAAUAUUACAAAGGGCAAAGAAGACAGAAAGGUUGGAAGGAAGUGGGCUUGUAUCUGUGUGUACAGCCUUUCUCUGCUUCUUCCUUUUAAGGCUACACACGGUUGUAUUUUGGGGUUGCCUCAGGUAACCUGGUGUCACUACCUACCUCAAGCUCCCUCUUCCCUUCCCCCAUCUCUUUUUUUCCCUCCCUUUUCCUUCCCCCUUAGUCCCACCCUGAUAAAAAACUAUAAACACAAAAUUAAAAAAAAAUGUGUCUUCUCUUUGCAGUGUCCUUUCUGUGUUUAGAAUGAUGGAGUUUGUAUUAGAUUCUAAUGGGUUGACAGUGGGUGUGAAGACAGGAGGGGCUUUAAGAUGGGUAUAUUAGAAACUUCAUUCUAGUGUUCUUAGCCCACCAGUGUAAAUACAUGUUUGAUAGCUUCCAGGACCCAAAUUUCAUGGGAGAAGAGCAGGGUUUCCAGGGCACUGAACUGGCAUCCGCAUCUCUAGCCAGGAGCAUGAGUCAGCUCAAAGCAGUGGGCAUUGCAGCCAAGAAUGCAGAACAAACAAGCUCCUUGGGUCUUGUCUUUUUCUCUGCUUCAGAUUUGCAGGUAUAGUAUAGCAGUAUAUUUUUUUUCAACUGAAAAAGACUGGAAUUUGGCAGGCAAAAUCUAUAGAGAUUGAUGGCCCUUUUAAGCCGGGAACCUAAUUAAUUGGCGAAGAUGAUGAAUGCGACUGAGAGUUCUGCUCUGCUGCACCCGGGCUCUCCAUGCACGCCCAGAUCAGGUCAUCUUCAUCAAGGCAUCAACUCAUCUGCCAGUGAGAAGAUUGCCCCUGCACUGCUGAUUCACAAGGGUAAGAGGAUGCAUUCCGUUAGCCAGCUCCGAAUCAGAGGAACCUCUGGGAAUUAGGACCUUCCUAUCCCCAGGGGAGUCUGAGGAAAUAAGAAAUCGUUAGGCUGGCUCCUAGUAACAUGGUGCAUAAAAAGGAGGGAACUGAAUUUCCCAGCUCCCAGUUUGCCUUGUCUCUCUCCAUGCAGGUCUCAGUUCCAUGCACAGGAUCUAGUUACACCAUGUGACUCUCAAAAGACCAAAGAGCAUUUUGUUUGUCGUCAAGGGGUCUGGUUCAAGUCCAACUCUAUUAAAACAGAUUUGGAGACUUAUGUAACACUUGUGCUUCAGUUUUCUUGCCUGUAGAAAUGGGAGCCACUAAGCUCUCCCCCACUCUGCCGUCUAGGAUCCUGAGUCUAGGCAAUUCACCGUAUCGGAAGUAGGGUAUCUGGACACAGGGAAACAUCUACAUGCCCAACUGUAUCCUUCAGGCCUGAUAAGCAGAAGGGGGAUGGGGUCUGGUUAUCCCCAUAUACGUGACUGGAGCACACUGACACAGAGUAUCUCUGCCCUGCAGGCAUCUCUAAGCUAUGUUAUCAACUUCAUAGAUGCACAUCUACCUAUUGCUCCUCAGCAGAGCCAGUGCUGUGACCAUCCCCAGCGGGUGACUGCACACGUAUGGAUCUGUUCUGGUGGAAGAGUGAUCACUAUUAAAUGAAAGCUUUAAUUUCCAUAUCAUGAAACAUCACUAUAGUGACUGCUUAUCUUGGUGUCUGUUUGACUGGAUCUUGGGUCACGUAGGAGUACUGCUCAGCGUGGGACUAUGAAGCAUUUCCUAGAAGCAUUGACAGAGGGGGAAAGGUAUGCCCAAGAACAGGCAGCAUCCUCUGUAGCAGCACAUAUAGAAAGAAGUUGAAGAAAACCAGUGUAGCUUUUUGCCUUUUCUCCUUUACUUCUUGCUAGUGUGUGCAUCCACCCUGCUAGUACCAUACUAUUGUCAUUCUUUGCUAACAUCAGAACCCAGGUUCUUCAGCCUUCUGGGAUGAACUUAUCAAAUGGCUCUUCAAAUCCUCUAGACCUUCAGCUCCAGAUUUGAACUGUGGAGACAUCCAACGUUAUGGGCUGAGCAGCUAUCGGUUUCUCAACCCCUCCAGCAUCUAGACAAACACCGUUGGAUAACCCAGGUCAUCUAGGAACUACUCAGGCUGUUUCUUA